GAUCAUGGCUCAGGAUGAACGCUAGCUACAGGCUUAACACAUGCAAGUCGAGGGGCAGCAUGGUCUUAGCUUGCUAAGGCCGAUGGCGACCGGCGCACGGGUGAGUAACGCGUAUCCAACCUGCCUUACACUCUUGGACAGCCUUCUAAAAGGGAUAUUAAUACAAGAUGUUAUCAUGAGUAAGCAUUUUCGCAUGAUUAAAGGUUUACCGGUGUAAGAUGGGGAUGCGUUCCA
rnacentral:rRNA from 1 species